GUGAACGCUGGCGGUAGGCCUAACACAUGCAAGUCGAACGGCAGCACAGUAAGAGCUUGCUCUUACGGGUGGCGAGUGGCGGACGGGUGAGGAAUACAUCGGAAUCUACUUUUUCGUGGGGGAUAACGUAGGGAAACUUACGCUAAUACCGCAUACGACCUACGGGUGAAAGCAGGGGAUCUUCGGACCUUGCGCGAUUGGAUGAGCCGAUGUCGGAUUAGCUAGUUGGCGGGGUAAAGGCCCACCAAGGCGACGAUCCGUAGCUGGUCUGAGAGGAUGAUCAGCCACACUGGAACUGAGACACGGUCCAGACUCCUACGGGAGGCAGCAGUGGGGAAUAUUGGACAAUGGGCGCAAGCCUGAUCCAGCCAUACCGCGUGGGUGAAGAAGGCCUUCGGGUUGUAAAGCCCUUUUGUUGGGAAAGAAGAGCAGCAGGUUAAUACCCCGCUGUUCUGACGGUACCCAAAGAAUAAGCACCGGCUAACUUCGUG
rnacentral:rRNA from 1 species